AGUAGGGAAUCUUCGGCAAUGGACGAAAGUCUGACCGAGCAACGCCGCGUGAGUGAAGAAGGUUUUCGGAUCGUAAAACUCUGUUGGUAGAGAAGAACGUUGGUGAGAGUGGAAAGCUCAUCAAGUGACGGUAACUACCCAGAAAGGGACGGCUAACUACGUGCCAGCAGCCGCGGUAAUACGUAGGUCCCGAGCGUUGUCCGGAUUUAUUGGGCGUAAAGCGAGCGCAGGUGGUUUAUUAAGUCUGGUGUAAAAGGCAGUGGCUCAACCAUUGUAUGCAUUGGAAACUGGUAGACUUGAGUGCAGGAGAGGAGAGUGGAAUUCCAUGUGUAGCGGUGAAAUGCGUAGAUAUAUGGAGGAACACCGGUGGCGAAAGCGGCUCUCUGGCCUGUAACUGACACUGAGGCUCGAAAGCGUGGGGAGCAAACAGGAUUA
rnacentral:rRNA from 1 species